rnacentral:rRNA from 1 species
AGAGAUGUGUGAUGACGCAUAUCAAUAAGCGGAGGAAAAGAAAACUAACAAGGAUUCCCUUAGUAACGGCGAGUGAAGCGGGAAGAGCUCAAAUUUGAAAUCUUCAAGGUUCUACCUUGACGAAUUGUAGUUUAUAGAAGUGUUUUCUGUUAGUAGGAGUGGCAAAAGUUCUUUGGAAUAGGACAUCAUAGAGGGUGAGAAUCCCGUAUUUGGUCAUUCCUUCCUAGCUUUGUGAUACACUUUCAACGAGUCGGAUUGUUUGGGAAUGCAGUCCAAAAUGGGUGGUAAAUUUCAUCUAAGGCUAAAUAUUGGCGAGAGACCGAUAGCGAACAAGUACCGUGAGGGAAAGAUGAAAAGAACCUUGAAAAGAGAGUUAAACAGUACGUGAAAUUGUCAAAAGGGAAGCGUUUGACACCAGUGUUGUUUUUUCCGAAAAUCAAUUACGAAUGUUUUGUUUUUAAGAAGUUAUGACUUCAUCGGCUUGCUUCUUUCUUUAUGAAACUUUCUUAAUGCACUUUUCGGUUAACAAGUCAACAUCAAUUUCUUUUGUUGUAAAAGGGUAUGAGGAAGGUGGCUUUCUUUUCGGAGAAAGUGUUUAUAGCCUUGUGCCUCUGCAAUCGGAGAGAUUGAGGUCUGCAGCGUAGAUCCUUCGGGGUUAGAUGACAUUUGUGCUAAGUUAUGGCUUUUCAUAGACAACUUGUUGACUAUGUCUAGUCUUGUAGCUUACUCGCUUAUGCUAUUUUACCUACGCUUAGGAUGUUGAUAGUCACAGCGUGUAC